rnacentral:rRNA from 1 species
AUUGAACGCUGGCGGCAGGCCUAACACAUGCAAGUCGAGCGAGUGGCGGACGGGUGAGUAAUGUAUGGGGCUCUGCCCGAUGGAGGGGGAUAACUACUGGAAACGGUGGCUAAUACCGCAUACUAUCGGAUGAACCCAUAUGGGAUUAGCUAGUUGGUGGGGUAAAGGCUCACCUAGGCGACGAUCUCUAGCUGGUCUGAGAGGAUGAACAGCCACACGGGAACUGGGACACGGCCCAGACUCCUACGGGAGGCAGCAGUGGGGAAUAUGGCACAAUGGGCGCAAGCCUGAUGCAGCCGGGCCGCGUGUAUGAAGAAGGCCUUGGGGUUGUAAAGUACUUUCAGCGGGGAGACGUUACCCGCAGAAGAAGCACCGGCUAACUCCGUGCCAGCAGCCGCGGUAAUUC